rnacentral:rRNA from 1 species
GAUGAACGCUAGCUACAGGCUUAACACAUGCAAGUCGAGGGGAAACGACAUUGAAGCUUGCUUCGAUGGUCGUCGACCGGCGCACGGGUGAGUAACGCGUAUCCAACCUGCCUCUGACCAAGGGAUAACCCGUCGAAAGUCGGCCUAAUACCUUAUGCAGUCGUCGGAAGUCAUCUGAUGACGACGAAAGAUUUCAUCGGUGAGAGAUGGGGAGGCGUCUGAUUAGCUUGUUGGCGGGGUAACGGCCCACCAAGGAAACGAUCAGUAGGGGUUCUGAGAGGAAGGUCCCCCACAUGGGAACUGAGACACGGUCCAAACUCCUACGGGAGGCAGCAGUGAGGAAGAUUGGGCAAUGGGAGAGAGCCUGAACCAGCCAAGUAGCGUGCAGGAAGACGGCGCUAUGGGUGGUAAACUGCUUUUAGGCGGGGAUAAAGUGAGGGACGUGUCCUUCAUUGCAGGUACCGCAUGAAUAAGGACCGGCUAAUUCCGUG